rnacentral:rRNA from 1 species
UACGGAGGGAGCUAGCGUUGUUCGGAAUUACUGGGCGUAAAGCGCGCGUAGGCGGCUUUGUAAGUUAGAGGUGAAAGCCCGGGGCUCAACUCCGGAACUGCCUUUAAGACUGCAUCGCUUGAAUCCGGGAGAGGUGAGUGGAACUCCGAGUGUAGAGGUGAAAUUCGUAGAUAUUCGGAAGAACACCAGUGGCGAAGGCGGCUCACUGGACCGGUAUUGACGCUGAGGUGCGAAAGCGUGGGGAGCAAACAGG